GAUGAACGCUAGCGGCAGGCUUAACACAUGCAAGUCGAGGGGUAUUGGUUUUCGGACCAAGAGACCGGCGCACGGGUGCGUAACGCGUAUGCAAUCUACCUUUUGCAGAGGGAUAGCCCCAGAGAAAUUUGGAUUAAUACCUCAUAGUAUAGUACUUUGGCAUCAAGGAACUAUUAAAGUCACAACGGCAAAAGAUGAGCAUGCGUCCCAUUAGCUAGUUGGUAAGGUAACGGCUUACCAAGGCUACGAUGGGUAGGGGUCCUGAGAGGGAGAUCCCCCCACACUGGUACUGAGACACGGACCAGACUCCUACGGGAGGCAGCAGUGGGGAAUAUUGGACAAUGGGCGCAAGCCUGAUCCAGCCAUGCCGCGUGAGUGAUGAAGGCCUUAGGGUUGUAAAGCUCUUUUGUCCGGGAAGAUAAUGACUGUACCGGAAGAAUAAGCCCCGGCUAACUUCGUGCCAGCAGCCGCGGUAAAGU
rnacentral:rRNA from 1 species